rnacentral:misc_RNA from 1 species
AGUCAGCUCUAGAAGUGUUUCAAACCAGUCGUGAAUUGGGAAUGAACUCUCAUUCUCUCAGCCAAAUAUAGCAGAGGCCACAGGCACAGCUCAGACCACAACAGACGAACAGACUGAAAACCUGUGUGGCUGAAUGAUUACCGUAUCAACUAUAUAGUUGUGUGUCUUCUACAAAAGUUUAUUCGCGGCAACUGUAUCUUCAAACAUACUGUAACGUUGUUUCUUCUUCUAAUAAGUAGCCAAUAUACAAUUUGGUACUUUUAUACGAGAUUAGAAUUAUGAGGAAAUUUGUAUUAGUAAUUCUAUUUGUAGCCUUAACGCAAAACAAUUGUUCUGCACAUGCAGAGCAAGAGACCUCCAAAAAUGUAACAUUACCAAAAUUUGUCACGUUUCCAUUGAUAUGGCAUCCUUCUCCUCGUUCAAGGCUUUUGGAAAUGGGUGUUCAUCCCCGAGUUAUUCAAAGUCUUGCCAUCAAUGAGUUUGCAAAGAAAAAAGGACCUGUGAAAAAUGAUACCGUACAAAUUUACAAAUAUUUGGAUUCUGAGUUUUAUGCUCAAGUUAACCUGGGUCACCCAGGUAAGCAAUUCUAUAUGGUUCUGGAUACAUCAUGGGGAGACUCCUUCGUACCAUCAGCUUCAUGCCCUGAAACUGAAAUUGCUUGCCAAACCAAGAAUAAGUACGACCACUCUCUAUCCUCCACGUAUGUGAACCCCAAUGAAGCAUACACUGUGAAUGGGAUGAUCGGUGAUCUUGCUAUGGACAUGCUACAUCUGGGACACGUUAAUGUGACUAAUUUCACAUUUGCUGAGCUCACGCAUGUUCCCAAGUCUAUGAUGUUUGAGAAGGCUGAUGGAAUACUUGGAAUGGGAUUCAAACAAUUGAACGCCUAUAAUAAACUUCCGUUUUUUUACCGUCUAACCGAGUUGAAUCCACAAAUGGAAAAGGUGUUUGCUUUCUACUUCAAUAGAGCUCCUGCCACUAGAAAAGGAGGAACUGUAGCGCUGGGUAUGGUUCAGAAGAAACAUUAUUUUAAACCAAUCAAUUACUUCAACGUUAUAUCAAAUAAUUAUUGGGAAAUCAAAAUGGACAAGGUGAUUCUUGAAGAACGCAAGACUAAAAACAAUACUCUGUGUGCGUCUGGCUGCAAAGCAUUGUUUGAUACUGGCACAACUACAAUAAGUGCUCCAUCAGAUGAUCUGAAAAUCAUCAAUAAAAUAACCAAAGCUACUGAAGUUCCCAAUCUUGGACGAUUUUCGGUGGAUUGCAAGACCAUAACUCAGCUUCCAAGCAUACAUUUCUUCUUCAACGGAAUCGAGCACAGUAUUAAGGGAAAAGAAUACGUUAGUAAUCUGAAGGUGGGUCAACAGAGCUUCUGUGUGACUGCCUUUGAAGCUUCGCAGCUCCCCAACACCUGGGCUAUUGGUAGCACUUUCUUAUACCGACAUUACUCAGUAUUUGAUUUGGACAAGAGACAGGUUGGACUUGCCAAGAGUAAAUACUAAAGUUACCAGCUUCAUAAAAUUAUUAUAUCUUACAUAAUUUUUUUACUCUUGAGGUGAAUAUUUUUCAACUUCUGCUAUAGUUGGGAACCUAAUCUGCAAAGAUAAUCAAACUACAGUAGGUACUGUAUAAAAUAUUUGCCGAGAGUCCAAACUAACAAGUCUAUAUAUUUUACUGUACUUAAUUUUUGUACUCUUUAUGUGAAUAUUUUUUAAAAUUUUGCUUUAGUUGGGAACCUAAUCUGCAAAGGUAAACAAACUACAGUAGGUACUGUAUUAAUUAUUUGUCAAGUCCAAACUAACUAGUUACUAAGUUUACAAAAAUGAUUUCUAAAAUACUUAAUUUCUAUUAUUAUGGAAUAACUUUAAAAAACUCAAGUUAGGUAUACUUGAAGAAAUUUUUUCCAGUAAAUCUGAUUUAGUUGAUCAUGACAUAGGUUUUUAGAUACAAUUCCAGUUUUAUUUUUUAUAGUCUUCCUUUUUGAUGGGUGCAUUUCAUAUUAUGAUUGUAAGAGUGAAAAAGAAAAAUUAUAAAUAACAAGAGCAUUUCCUGUUUUUAAUAUUGGGUAUUAAGUAUUGAAUAAUAUAAGGCUAUUUUAUCGUCUCUAUUCCUGUUUUGAAAUGAGGAUUUGAUUCUUGAAAUCCACUUUAAAUUGGAUGAUCAAAUUACAAAAAUGAUGUAUAGAAUCAGUAAAACUAGCUUCAUUAUUAUGCUUGCUUUCCUGUGUACACUACAAAAUAGAGUUUUCUAGCAGACUUUCACCUAUAGCUCAGGUUAUUACCGUACAUAAUUAUUAUUAUAUUUAUAAUUUUACACUCCAAUGAUCUCCUCCAAAACGAAAAAUGUAUCUGGUGAUAUUCAGGAAUAUAACAUUUGACUACUUCCAAUCUUCUUGCAAUCCGAACUACUAAUUCUAAUCAACCACAAAUUACAGGACAGUUUUAGCUUUUAUUGGUAACUGAACAAUCGAUAUGCCACUGUCCACUCUCAUAUUUCAUAUGGCAUUGAGAUUUAUGGUGGGACUAGUGCAUUUAACUUGAAUAGGAUAUUAAAACUCCAAAAAGAAGCAGUAAGAAAAAUAUUUAAUUUAAAUAGACAAGAGUCGCGCAGGACAUUUUUUAAAAAGUUAGAAUUAAUGACGACAAAUUCCCCAGGCAAUCCAGUGUGCAUGACUAUAAUACAAGAAAUAGGAACAACUUUAUUAUCAAAGAACAUAGUAAAGAGAAGAACAAACAAAGCCCAACCUAUAUGGGCAUCAAAUUCAUUACUUACCUUCCUACUAGUAUUAAACAUGAAAAAGAUAUUACAAGGUUUGAAAACAAACUGAAAAAGUAUAUCGUGAAAUUAGAAUUAUACAGUUAUGAAGAAUUUUAUAGUGCCAACUCAUUGUGUAUUUAGACUACCUAUUGUUGAUGUAUUUUGUUUUUUACUUGUAUUUAUUUUAUUAUUUUGUUGAAAGUAAUAAAGAAAGACGCAUUCAUGUACAUUUUGAUGUAUGUUUUGAAUAAAGAGAUUGAUUGAUUGAUAUGCAGGUUUUAAUAAGACUCAUGGAGGUGAAAAGUAGAAAAUUAAAAAUACUCAACCAUUUUCUCAUCGAGAACAAACUGCUUGCUUUUGAAAUUUUCUAUAUUAUCUGUUUUUAAUACUUACCUACUUCAUGAAUGCAUGAUUCGAGUUUAUCAAAGAUUCUUAAAAAAUUGGGAGAGGAUUAAAUAAAUAAGACAACGUUAAUAUAAUUUCUUCAAUAAUAGUCUAUUCAACCUUCAUAUUUUUACAUACUAUAUACACAUAUAUAUUUAUAUUAGUGAUAAUAAUUGUAGCAUUUCUCUAUCUUGAAUAUUGAUGUACUGUUCAACUUAUGUACAGAGUGUCUCACUGAUUUUGAUUCUGUUUCUUUUUUCUGGUAAAAUAUUCAUUUCAAUAAACUUGUGUAUUGUAGAAAUAUUUCUCUACGGUGCUGAUUACUAUUUCAAUCAAUUUAUACUGAGAAGUAACUAAUUGAUAGUUAGUUGUGAAGAAUGAAAUGUUUAGAUUGGUGUGUUUUGAAUUCAUCCACGAUAGAAGAUUACAACUGAGUAAAACUGAAAUAUUUGUGAGUCUCAAAGUAGCUUAUUACAAUGAGAAAUUAUCUGGUGUGAAACAUGGAAUUUGUUUUUAUAGAGAAAUGCAUCAACUCAUUGGGUACAUUACAGAAUAAAUUGUAUGAAAUCGUGAGACACUCCAUGUACAACCUUGAUUCAAGGUUCAAGUUAUACAGAAUGCAUUCAAAGAUGUAGUCAAACUCAGUAACUAGUCUACUAUUAACGAACAAAACAAUAUGAAUUGAAUUUUAAACCAAUAAAUUAUUUUGUAUUGAAAAA